GAUGAACGCUGGCGGCGUGCUUAACACAUGCGAGUCGAACGGUGAACCCGGAGCUUGCUCUGUGGGAUCAGUGGCGAACGGGUGAGUAACACGUGAGCAACCUGCCCCUGACUCUGGGAUAAGCGCUGGAAACGGCGUCUAAUACUGGAUAUGUGACGUGACCGCAUGGUCUGCGUUUGGAAAGAUUUUUCGGUUGGGGAUGGGCUCGCGGCCUAUCAGCUUGUUGGUGAGGUAAUGGCUCACCAAGGCGUCGACGGGUAGCCGGCCUGAGAGGGUGACCGGCCACACUGGGACUGAGACACGGCCCAGACUCCUACGGGAGGCAGCAGUGGGGAAUAUUGCACAAUGGGCGCAAGCCUGAUGCAGCAACGCCGCGUGAGGGAUGACGGCCUUCGGGUUGUAAACCUCUUUUAGCAGGGAAGAAGCGAAAGUGACGGUACCUGCAGAAAAAGCGCCGGCUAACUACGUG
rnacentral:rRNA from 1 species